AUUAUACAAAUAUAUGCAGAGGGACUAAGAACAUAACAAGCGAUUGUCCUACUUUAGUAACUGGUAGUCGAGCGUACACCGAGAUACAACAGAGGAACCCAGCUUUGAAAAUAUAACGGACGAAUCUCUCGGCAGUUGAUUGAUAAGAUUUGGAGAAAGGUCAUCAAGCGGAGGACGACCGCCCAAUUUACACCGUGGAAAGGGGCGCCCGAGCGGGUGAGAGCCCCGUCCUGCCCGGACCCUGUCGCACCACGAGGCGCUGUCUACGACGCGGGUUGUUUGGGAAUGCAGCCCCAAUCGGGCGUUAAAUUCCGUCCAAGGCUUAAUAUGGGCGAGAGACCUAUAGCGAACAAGUACCGCGAGGUAAAGAUGAAAGUGACUUUGAAAAGAGAGUCGAAGAGUGCUUGAAAUUGUAGGGAGGGAAGCGGAUGGGGACCGGCGAUGCAUCCUGGUCGGACGCGGAACGGUCAGGCAAUUCCGGAGCUCCGCCGUCGUAAUGUCGGGGCGGCUGGGGACCGACGCGGUGAUUAAAGUGGUGUCCGGUUGACCUAGCCUGCCUGGGGGUUUUUGUUACGCCCGUGGAGACAUUGAUGCAUUAAUCGUGGUCUGCAGCAACCGCCUCACCAGGACAGGCGAUGUGCCUCUCGGGCGAUCUGCGUGCUCAGGGCGUCGUCCUGUGGGCUCCCCAUUCGACCCGUCUUAAAACACGGACCAAGGAGUCUUGGACAUGUGUGCGAGUCAACGGGUGAGUUAACCCGUAAGGCGCAAGGAAGCUGGUGGGCUGGAUCCCUCACGGUGGUGCACCAGGAGCCGACCGACUUUGAUUUUCUGAGAAGUGGUCGAGUGUGAGCAUUGCUGUCGGGAAACCCGGAAAGUGGUGAACUAUUCCUGAGCGGGGCAAAGCCAGAGGGAACUCUGGUGGAGGCCCUCAGCGAUACUGACGUUCAAAUCAUUCGUCUGACUUGGGUAUUGGGUGAAAGACUAAUCGAAACAUAUAGUAGCUGGUUCCCUCCGGAAAGUUUCCCUCAGUAUAGCUGGAGCUCGGAAACGAUUUCUAUCGGGUAAAGCCAGUGAUUAGAGGCAUUGGGGAUGCAAUGUCAUCGACCUAUUCUCAAAAUUUAAAUAGGUAGGACGGGGUGGUUGCUUUGUUGAGCCAUCCUACGGAAUGGAGAGCUCCAAGUGGGGCAUUUUUGGUAAGCAGAACUGGCGAUGCGGGAUGAACUGGAAGCCGCGUUACGGUGCCCAACUGCGCGCUAACCUAGAACCCACAAAAGGUGUUGGUCGAUUAAGAAAGCAGGACGGAGGUCAUGGAAGACGAAAUACGCUAAGGAGUGGUUGUAACAACUUCCACCUUGGCCGAAUCAACUGCCCCCGAAAAUGGAUGGCGCUUAAGCGCGCAACCUAUACCCGGCCGUCGGGGCAAGAGCCAGGCCUCGUUGAGUAGGAGGGCGCGGCGGUCGCUGGCAAACCUAGGGCGCGAGCACGGGCGGAGCGGCCGUCCGUGCAGAAGAUCUCCGGGUGGUAGUAAGCCCAAAUAUUUCAAAUGAGAAACUUUGAAAGGACCCGAUGAGGGGAAAGGUUCCAUUUGAACGGCACUUUCACAUGUGUUAGUCGAUCGUAAGAGUCGGGGGAACCCGGUCUGAUAGCGCUUAUGGCCGCGAACUUCGAAAGGGGAACCGGUUAAAAUUCCGGAACCGGGACUCGUGGCUGGGUUAGACUUGUGUAGUAAGCGGAGAGGCAAACGUAAGGGAGUCCGGAAAGACGUCGGCUCUCUAAACAGGAAUUCCGGAAAGCGCUCUCUAUCUGCUCUCUCCUGUGUGUAAGCGCCCGCCACAGGUGACGAUAACGGCUCUAAGCACCGGAGGGUAGGGUCUCAUGUGCGCGUGUGUGAAGACAAAACCUCCGGAGCCGAUACAGAGACAUUACGGGAGAUUGGUUCGCGCGCUGACAUUUCCGCCUCGGCCCAUAUGAAAGAUACCGGUAGAUACCGGAGGCCCAAACCGCCUCCGCCGCGCCCGGAUCCUCCCGUGGACGUUACUUUCUAAUCUCCAUCUCGGUUCUCCUCAAGUGUGACCGCCUUCAUAACAGCCACGGGUGCAGAGUAGAGAUAGACGACGCGUGUAGGCCAACCGCGCGCGGCCUCGCCGCGCUCGAAUCUCCCGCGUGAGCAUUACUCUCGGGAGAAAAGGUGGCGCGCGUGCUGAAAGAGCAUGGCUCUGUGUGCGUCCGUAGCAAAGAUGAGUCCCUAAGAUUGACCAUCGAAUAAUGGCCCUGUCUCGUGACACCUCGUUGCGCGGGCUGCUUGAGCUUUGCUAACGUGGCGAGAGGCGGCCGCCUCCGUGUUCAGGUACCGGGGUGGGGGACGUACUGUGAACGGCUCUUUCGGGAGCUUUUCCCGGGCGUCGAACAGCAACCUCAGGGAUACCUGUUACGGACAAGGGGAAUCCGACUGUUAAAUUAAAACAAAGCAUUGCGAUGGGUCCUGCGAAAAUGCUAACGGCCAAUGUGAAUUUCUGCCCAGUGCUCGGAAUGUCAAAGUGAAGAAGGAAAUUUCAACCGACCGCGGGUAAACGGUCGGUAACUUAUGGACUCUUCUUAAGGUUACAGCCAAAUGGCCUUCGUCAUUUAUAUUAGUGGACGCGCAUUGAAUGGAUUUUUAACGAGUUCCCACUGUCCCUGUCUACUAUCCAGAAAAACCACAGCCAAGGGAACGGGCUUGGCAGAUUCAGCGGGGAAAGAAGACCGUGUUGAGCUUGACUCUAGGCCGACUUUGUGAAAUGACAUGAGAGGUGUAGAAUAAGAGGGAGCUCCCGCGCAAGUGAAAUACCACUACUUUUUACGUUAUUUUACUUACUCCGUGAAUCUGAGGCGGGGUAACAACCCCUUUUUUUAGACCCAAGACUCCCUUCGGCGGGUCGAUCCGGGCGGAUGACAUUGUGAGGUGGGGAGUUUGUCUGUGGCGGCACAUCUGUUAAACAAUAACGCAGGUGUCCUAAUAUGAGCUCAACGAGAACAGAAUUCUCGUGUGGAACAAAAGGUAAAAGCUCGUUUGAUACUGAUUUUCAUACGAGGAAUCAAGCGGUACCGUCAUGAGGAUGGCGUUUGGUUUGUGGCCUAUCGAUCCUUUGGACCUUCGGAAUUUGAAGCUAGGGGUGUCAGAAAAGUUACCAAAUGGAUAACUGGCUUGUGGCAACCAAGCGUUCAUAGCGACAUUGCUUUUUUGUCAUCCGCUUGGAUGUCGGCUCUCUUCCUUUAUUAUUGUGAAGCAUAAUUUCACCAGAAGUGUUGGAUUGUUUCACCCACCAAUAGGGAAAACGUGAGCUGGGUUUAGGACGUCGUGAGACAGGUAGUGUUUAACCCUACUGAAUGGCCUAGCGCGCGUGGUACUCAUGUUCCACCCUAUAGUAUACUCUAAUAUUCAACCUAGUACGAGAGGAACAGUUGAUUCGCACAAUUGGUUCUCGCGCUUGUUGAGAAAACAACUUUGUGGGCCCGACAAAGCCCCCGGGGCGGCGAAAAGGCUAUACCGUGUGUUGGAUUAUGACUGAACGCCCCUAAGUCAGAAUCCGGCCUAGAAGCAACGCAUGCGACCGCCGCCAGAUUGCCGACCCUCAGUAAGAGCUUCGGCUCCCAAACGCACGUGUCGUUGGCUAAAUCGUCGGUGGGAAAGGCACCACGUAUCGGGGACCGCCUCUUGAAUAAUAUACAUUCCAUCCGAA
rnacentral:rRNA from 1 species